GGAAGCCCUCUGUGACUGAGCUGUGAAGCCUUGCUAGCAGCCCAGAGCAUACCCUGGACAAGCAUGAGCAUCACUGCCUUGUGUGCAGCAUGUGUCUCUUUCCUUGGAAAGGCAGUGGAAAGAUGUUAGCACCUGCGUUUUUCAUGACAAGUUACCUAUGGAAGGAUGCGUGCAGGAAGAGAGCAAAUUAUGUUAAAUUUUCCAGGCUCAGCAGCUUUGAAGCCACAUCUCACAGGCUGAUUUACCUGCCACGCUGCAGAAUGGCCAUGGCUGGGGAAUGCUUCCCUGCUACACUUAAAGCUGAGCAUCAGCACAGCCAGGAGUACGAGGGCUUUCAUAUUGGAAGAGUGGGGAACAAUGCUUCCUAAGCGUGAGGUAGCUGAGAAAAAGAAACACAGAGGUCCAAAGCUUGCCUACUCAUUUAUCCAUCCGGGCUGACCCACUUCUUUCAUGCUGACACUAAAUUACACAAGUAUGAUUACUUCUGUGAUGUUUCAGUGAAGACAUUCCCAGUUCCACUGCUGCAAGACAACAAG